UCUACAAGCUUGAACUUAUUAUUAUAAGGAUGCUGCUUGAUAUUACAAAGUAAAAAAUUCUUAGCACAUGUUGCAUGAAUUUAUUCAAGAAAACUUAAAUCAAUAGAUAUAAUCAUAGAAAUAGCACAAAGAUAAAAUUAUUCUAGUUUCAAGAGAAUGACAUAUUAUUAAUUAAAUACUAUCUUUUUAGCCUUUGGAGUAAGAUAUGAUCUUCUUAAUAAAGUGUCUAAUAGUCCUUGCUGCUAUUCUAUUCCAUAUAUAAUCACAAAAUCAA
rnacentral:lncRNA from 1 species